rnacentral:rRNA from 1 species
GACAGAGGUGCCGAGCGUUAGGCGGAAUCACUGGGCUUAAGGCGUGUGUAGGCGGAUGCCUAAGUACCUUGUGAAAUCCCACGGCUUAACCGUGGAACUGCUUGGUAUACUGGGUGUCUUGAGCCACUUAGGGGCGACCGGAACAAACGGUGGAGCGGUGAAAUGCGUAGAUAUCGUUUGGAACGCCAAUGGUGAAAACAGGUCGCUGGGAGUGUGCUGACGCUGAGACACGAAAGCCAGGGGAGCGAACGGG